rnacentral:pre_miRNA from 1 species
UUAUCAAUUUAUAUUAUUAAAAAUUGACACGAUUGACGGAAUAAUAAGACAAUAAUAUGAGCGUGAUACAUUUACCUCAUGCUAAUAUAUAUGGACCCCUUUUUAAUAAUAGAAAUAGAUAAAAAUUUUAGCA